GCGAUGCCCUGCUUGGCUCUCCUCCAGGCCCUGGAGCCUUUGCUCUGAGGCCAGCUUCUCAGCAAGGCCUCCUUGCUGCCUGUCCCCGCUCUGCACAGACCGAUGGCCUCUGCCCUACGGGCUUCCUGGUCCCCACACCCAGUCGGCCCGCGCGGCAGUCCGCCGUGCUCCCGCUCAGCGCCCAGAGCGAGCUCAGCUCUUGCUGAAAGAGAGGACUCGGGACACUCUGCGUGAGGCGCCGUUUCACACGCACAGAGGCCUAUUCUGAAGCCGCCGUGGGCAGCCCGGCCCGCGGCUCCUGGUAUGUGGCUGCACAGCGUCGGCAUCCAUUCAGCCGCCCCUCCUUUCCUGCCACGGGCCCUGGGGCUGUCCUGGUCUGGCCGCAGUCCUGGGGCCCCUCCCACGAAUGCCGGGCUGUGUGGGCCGUCCACGGCUUCCAAGGCCUGCGGUGAGGCUGGACCUCCCAGGCCGGCCCCCCGCCCACUGACCCCGCCUGAUCUGUCCCCAGGGCUCCGUACACCAGGCACCUGGGUAGAGGUGCCAGCGAGGCUCCUGGGGGUCCCCUGCAGCCCGAGCAAGACGGCCCUGGGUGUCAUCCCUGUCUUCUGCUGCACAGGCCUGCUGGAUCAGGGCUUCGGGGCAGUAAACCGUGCCCAGCGUCUUGCUGGCCUCGGCCAAGGGAGGGCGAGCGCCAGCACAAGGACAGCCAGGGCGAGGUCCCCACAGGCGAACCAGCCGGUCCUUCCCCCGCAGCCGCAGCUCGCCUUCGCCGCCGGGCUUCCGUCUCCCAGGCCACAACGCGGGGCACGGGCCCUACACCGCUGCCACACCUUACUGACGCGGCACCCGUUUUUCUGCAUCUGCGAGACUGUCCCCUUUAGGCCGUCACUUUCAGAACCAGCAGGCAGCUGCCAAACAGGGGCUGUUUCUGAUGGUUCGUAUUUUGUUUUGUUUUGCUGUAAUUGUCUUUUUUUUUUUUUCUUUUUGGGUCUCACUUGAUACAGUGAAGUGUACAUUUCAAAGUGUUUUGACAAAUGUCUCCACUGAGUGUCCGCUGCCCCUUAAAGAUCCAGGGCUGAGGUUUUCAGACGCUCACAUGCCGGGAAAGCGUCCUCGCUGCCCCACGGCUCCUGGCUCGGUGGGUCUGGGCGGGGAGAGAACGCACGUGUCGAGAGUUCCUGGGACCUGUUGCUACUCACCUGCCCACACUCCUAAGCAUCUGGGGCGAGUAUUUCUAUCGCACCAGAAAGCUCCCCUUUGGCCCUUCUGGUCAGCUCCAGCCUCCCCCAGAGGCAGCCCGCCUGUCCGUGAACUUCACACGCCGGAAUCCUUGGCAUGCGUCCUUCGGUGUCUGGCUCCUUUCAGGCAGCACAGUGCUCCUGAGGGUCGUGCAGGGCACUGCCGGGCUCACUAGCCCUUCCUGUCGUCACAGGGUGGCAUUUCCCUGCAUGGGGCCACCAGCCUGUCCCCUUCUCCUGCUGAUGGAUGUUGGGUUGUUUCCAGUUUGGGGCUGGAAUAAAACUUCUAUGAUUAUCUGCGUGCA
rnacentral:lncRNA from 1 species